GCCUACAGCCAUGCCAUCUUGAACGUGCCUGAUCCUGUCUGAUUUCGGAAGCUAAGCAAGGUCAGGCCUGGUUAGCACAUGAAUGGGAGACCACCUAGGAAUACCAAGUGCUGUAGGCA
rnacentral:rRNA from 1 species